GACGAACGCUGGCGGCGUGCUUAACACAUGCAAGUCGAACGGAAAGGCCCUGCUUUUGUGGGGUGCUCGAGUGGCGAACGGGUGAGUAACACGUGAGUAACCUGCCCUUGACUUUGGGAUAACUUCAGGAAACUGGGGCUAAUACCUGCUAGGAGCUCCUGCUGCAUGGUGGGGGUUGGAAAGUUUCGGCGGUUGGGGAUGGACUCGCGGCUUAUCAGCUUGUUGGUGGGGUAGUGGCUUACCAAGGCUUUGACGGGUAGCCGGCCUGAGAGGGUGACCGGCCACAUUGGGACUGAGAUACGGACCAGACUCCUACGGGAGGCAGCAGUGGGGAAUAUUGCACAAUGGGCGGAAGCCUGAUGCAGCAACGCCGCGUGCGGGAUGACGGCCUUCGGGUUGUAAACCGCUUUCGCCUGUGACGAAGCGUGAGUGACGGUAAUGGGUAAAGAAGCACCGGCUAACUACGUG
rnacentral:rRNA from 1 species